GCCCUAGGGAUUCAGUUCCACA
rnacentral:miRNA from 1 species